GUCUACGGCCAUGCCACCCUGAAUAAGCCCAAUCUCGUCUGAGCUCGGAAGCUAAGCAGGGUCGGGCCUGGUUAGUACUUGAAUGGGAGACCACCUAGGAAGACUAGGUGCUGUAGGCA
rnacentral:rRNA from 1 species